CUUCAACGAGCCCAGCCAGCAGGGGCUGUCCGCCGGCCGGUCGUGCCCGUAGGUGGCGAGCAGGGCCUGGGCCUC
rnacentral:antisense_RNA from 1 species